rnacentral:rRNA from 1 species
UUGCCUACGGGAGGCUGCAGUGGGGAAUUUUGGACAAUGGGCGCAAGCCUGAUCCAGCAAUGCCGCGUGCAGGAUGAAGGCCUUCGGGUUGUAAACUGCUUUUGUACGGAACGAAAAGCUCUGGGUUAAUACCUCGGGGUCAUGACGGUACCGUAAGAAUAAGCACCGGCUAACUACGUGCCAGCAGCCGCGGUAAUACGUAGGGUGCGAGCGCUAAUCGGAAUUACUGGGCGUAAAGCGUGCGCAGGCGGUUUUGUAAGACAGUGGUGAAAUCCCCGGGCUCAACCUGGGAACUGCCAGUGUGACUGCAAGGCUAGAGUGCGGCAGAGGGGGAUGGAAUUCCGCGUGUAGCAGUGAAAUGCGUAGAUAUGCGGAGGAACACCGAUGGCGAAGGCAAUCCCCUGGGCCUGCACUGACGCUCAUGCACGAAAGCGUGGGGAGCAAACAGGAUUAGAUACCCGGGUAGUC